GACGAACGCUGGCGGCGUGCCUAAUACAUGCAAGUCGAGCGGAUCUCUGAAGGAGCUUGCUCCUGAUGAGGUUAGCGGCGGACGGGUGAGUAACACGUAGGUAACCUGCCUGCAAGCCUGGGAUAACAUCCGGAAACGGAUGCUAAGACCGGAUACGCAGCUUGGUCGCAUGACCAAGCUGGGAAAGACGGAGCAAUCUGUCGCUUGCAGAUGGGCCUGCGGCGCAUUAGCUAGUUGGUGAGGUAACGGCCCACCAAGGCGACGAUGCGUAGCCGACCUGGGAGGGUGAACGGCCACACUGGGACUGAGACACGGCCCAGACUCCUACGGGAGGCAGCAGUAGGGAAUCUUCCACAAUGGACGCAAGUCUGAUGGAGCAAGGCCGCGUGAGUGAGGAGGGCCUUCGGGUCGUAAAGCUCUGUUGCCAGGGAAGAACGCCUAGGAGAGUAAUUGCUCUUAGGGUGACGGUACCUUACCAGAAAGCCACGGCUAACUACGUGCCAGCCGCCGCCGUAACAC
rnacentral:rRNA from 1 species